CUUUGUAAGAGAGAGCUUGAGACUGCGGCACACCUGCUAUUCAUGUGUAGGUUCUCCCUCAGGGUAUGGCACCAGAUUAAACUUUGGCUGGGUAUGCACGAGCUGGAGAUCGAUGCUUGGCCCGGUUUGCUAUCCGUCGACGAGUGGUGGGAGAGGACGGUUCUACGCACGGACCAUAGUCGUAAGGCGAUGGCCUUACUAUUGUUGUUGGUGGUCUGGGAGAUUUGGAGAGAAAGGAACAAGAGGGUUUUCCAAGGCAAGUCGGCCAUGCCCAAUGGGGUGGUCGCCUCGAUAAAAUGUGAAGCGAGAAAUUGGGUUCUUGCGGGGGCAAAAAAAUUGAGCACGAUCAUGCCGUGA
rnacentral:rRNA from 1 species